GGAUUAGAUACCCUGGUAGUCCACGCCCUAAACGAUGAUUACUGGACAUUUGCGAUAUACAGUGAGUGUCUGAGCGAAAGCAUUAAGUAAUCCACCUGGGAAGUACGUCCGCAAGGAUGAAACUCAAAGGAAUUGACGGGGGUCCGCACAAGCGGUAGAGUAUGUGGUUUAAUUCGAUGAUACGCGAGGAACCUUACCUGGGCUAGAAUGCGCGUGACCGGUUCUGAAAGGAACUCUUCUAGCAAUAGACACAAAGCAAGGUGCUGCAUGGCUGUCGUCAGCUCGUGUUG
rnacentral:rRNA from 1 species